rnacentral:rRNA from 1 species
UACGUAGGGUGCGAGCGUUUGUCCGGAAUUAUUGGGCGUAAAGGGCUCGUAGGCGGUUUGUCGCGUCGGGAGUGAAAUCCACUGGCUUAACUGGUGGCUUGCUUUCGAUACGGGCAGACUGGAGGUAUGCAGGGGAGAACGGAAUUCCUGGUGUAGCGGUGAAAUGCGCAGAUAAUCAGGAGGAACACCGGUGGCGAAGGCGGUUCUCUGGGCAUGUCCUGACGUGAGGAGCGAAAGUGUGGGGAGCGAACAGG